CAAUAAAUGAGUCAUUAUGACUUCCUUGAAAAUUUAAUAGAAGAACAAAACCACCUAUCAUCCUCCACCUCCUCCGGCACCCCAUCCUUCGCCUCAUCCGGCAACCUAAAAAGAACUAGACAUUAGUUUUCUACAAUAAAAGCAGAAAACACCCAUAUAAAAAAUUUAGAUAAUAUCAUAAUUAAAGUAAGAUGAAAAAAGAAACUAGAGAGAGAUCUCAGAUGUGACCUCUGUUGCGGGGAUCUGCUUCUUCGGUAUCUGUUUACUCAUUGCAAAGAAACAACCUCGAACUCUGCUUUGGUCGGGGAAGAGUGCACGAUGCUGCGAGCUAUGGCUUUCCCCCAUUUGACGAUUGGGAGUGCUGCUCUCCUCUUUUUCAUAAAUCCACACCCGCUGCCCGGACUCUUGAGUUUUUGCGGAAUUUUUGGAUGCCUGCGUGGCUGUUUUUUCGCACACUCUGCGGAGUUUGUCAAUCUCUUCGGUGACAAAUCUUCAGUUUUCGGGUUGACUACUUUGGAGCAGUGUCUUUGCAAAAACCUGCGUCAUUGAUUGAACUCAAAGGAGUGUGUGUGUAGGUGAAGGCUAUCUGAUGCGUGCACAUUACAAUUGGUGUGGUAUUAACUAACAGGGAAAGUUUAAGGAUAAUAACACAUCACAAUGAAUUGGCUGCAAACUCAUUUGUUUUAUCAUCUUUAAUUUCUAUUAUGUAAUGAUGGUUGGGUGUCCAUUCUAGUCCUUGGCAUUUGCAUUAUUUUUAAGGAAGCCUGUCUAUGGUGGUUCUAGGCUCAGGUUGUUUUUAACCAUUUAAUGAAAGGAUAAAAAAUGCUUUCAUCAAUAAAAUGUAUCAUAUGCACUUUAUUCAUCUGAUGUGUAUGUCGGUUAUUGCUUUUUAGUAGCCUUAUUUUGAUUUCCAAUAUAGAUUCUUAAAUCUGAUUCUCGUCUUCAGGAUGCGACACUUAUACACAGUGCUCUUUCUUUCUACCGAUUGACGGUGGUGUGGCUAGUUCGCUUGUUUGGCGGAUUUAAAAUGCCUCUGCCCUCAACUUGCCCUAUGGAAGUUGAUUGCGUAGGGUGGUUUACGCCGAAAAAUAGAUUGAUUGAAAUCAUUUGUUUCGAAUUUGAUUGCGUAGGGUGGUUUAGAGAUAAUUGAUUCUUGUAUCGUUAUUUCAGCUGCAACAAAAAAUGUGUCAUUGUUGAAUUGAAGUUUACGUCAUAUAGCAACUUUUGUCAAUGGUUUUGGACUGGUUAAAAUGAAGAGGGUUUCAGAUUGAGAUUA